CUUUUGGAGAUUAGCAGAGCACUCCAGAAACACUAGAAACAUUUCUUCAUGAUGUUUUACCAGGUUGAACAUGCGAGAGAAGCCUGUUUUUCUCAGUUACCAGUGAAAAUUAGCUGUGCAAGGAGGAUCAACUACAACAGGCUGCUAAAGGAGGGUUCUCACCUAGGCCUGGGGCAAGAGAGCAGGUUGCAGACAAGACUUUUUCCUUGUUGGAGUGGAAGAAGCUCCUAUGCAAUAGAGGGCAAAAUCUGGAACUUGAAAUCAGAAAUAGCAUGGAUUUACCAAGACAGUAAACCACUGAGGCGAAGAGAAUGGCUGACCUGGGAGCCUGCAGCGUCAUGGGAAGUCCUCAAAUAGUCCAAACAUCAGGAAGGGAUCACAUAUAAACAAAAGCUGGCAAGUGGCAUUACAAAACAUGGAGAGAUGCCCUACAUUCACCAAAAGAGCAGGAUGGUCAAACCUGCAGACUGAGAAUGCCCACAUGCAGGCUUCCUGCUUGGAGUGAAAAGUGUUUCACCCACAGCUGGGUCAUUUGGAUCUGGAUCUUCCCAACACUGAAGCAAAAUAUUGUCUGAACACUCCCACAUGAAAGUAAAAUAAUUUCUAAGUAUUUUCACCUUUUCUGUAUUAUUAAAAUUACUUUUAAAUAUAUCCACAAUAAAUUGAUUCCAAAAAGAC
rnacentral:lncRNA from 1 species